UACAGAGGUCCCAAGCGUUGUUUCGGAUUCACUGGGCGUAAAGGGUGCGUAGGUGGUGAGGUAAGUCGGAUGUGAAAUCUCCAAGCUCAACUUGGAAACUGCAUUGGAAACUACCUUGCUAGAGGAUUUGAGGGGGGGAUUGGAAUACUUGGUGUAGCAGUGAAAUGCGUAGAUAUCAAGUGGAACACCAGUGGCGAAGGCGAAUCCCUGGAAAAUACCUGACACUGAGGCACGAAAGCUAGGGGAGCAAACAGG
rnacentral:rRNA from 1 species